UCCCUGGUGGUCCAGUGGUUAAGAUGCCACACUCUCAAUGCAGAGGGCCCGGGUUUGAUCCCUGGCUAGGGAA